rnacentral:rRNA from 1 species
AUUGAACGCUGGCGGCAUGCCUUACACAUGCAAGUCGAACGGCAGCACGGGUGCUUGCACCUGGUGGCGAGUGGCGAACGGGUGAGUAAUACAUCGGAACGUACCUUAUCGUGGGGGAUAACGCAGCGAAAGCUGUGCUAAUACCGCAUACGCCCUGAGGGGGAAAGCGGGGGAUCGCAAGACCUCGCGCGAUUAGAGCGGCCGAUGCCUGAUUAGCUUGUUGGUGGGGUAAAAGCCCACCAAGGCGACGAUCAGUAGCUGGUCUGAGAGGACGAUCAGCCACACUGGGACUGAGACACGGCCCAGACUCCUGCGGGAGGCAGCAGUGGGGAAUUUUGGACAAUGGGGGCAACCCUGAUCCAGCAAUGCCGCGUGAGUGAAGAAGGCCUUCGGGUUGUAAAGCUCUUUUGUCAGGGAAGAAACACCGGCUCUAACACAGUCCGGGAAUGACGGUACCUGAAGAAUAAGCACCGGUUAACUACGUGCCAGCCGCCGCGGUAA